rnacentral:rRNA from 1 species
CUACGGGCGGCUCCAGUAGGGAAUAUUGGACAAUGGGCGAAAGCCUGAUCCAGCAACACCGCGUGCACGAUGACGGCCUUCGGGUUGUAAAGUGCUUUUAGAGGAGAUGAGAAAGGACAGUAUCCCCUGAAUAAGCCUCGGCGAACUACGUGCCAGCAGCCGCGGUAAAACGUAGGAGGCAAGCGUUAUCCGGAUUUAUUGGGCGUAAAGCGCGUGCAGGCGGUCUAGCAAGUUGGAUGUGAAAGCUCCCGGCUCAACUGGGAGAGGUCGUUCAAUACUGUUAGACUAGAGAAUAGGAGAGGGAGGUGGAAUUCCGGGUGUAGUGGUGAAAUGCGUAGAUAUCCGGAGGAACACCAGUGGCGAAAGCGGCCUCCUGGACUAUUUCUGACGCUAAGACGCGAAAGCUAGGGUAGCAAACGGGAUUAGAUACCCCAGUAGUC